GUCUCGGUGGCUCAGCUGUAAGAGCGGCGGGCUGGUAUCCCGUAUUCGCGAGUUUGAGUCUCGCCCGAGACU